rnacentral:lncRNA from 1 species
AUGCAGGAUUGGCAGGAGCUGCGAUGCUCACACUUGCCUCGCCGACCGCCAUUUCACAUCCAGCAGAGGAGGCGGGGGCAGCCGCUGAGACGGUUUUUCACAAGGUGCAUUUUAGUGGUUACCAGGUUGCCACGUAUUUGAAGUGGUGUGAGAGCUACUCGUUUGGAACCGUUGUGGAUUUUCAAAUAGGAAAAUCAAAAGGCCCAAAGAGACAGCUCACUGGAAAUGACCUCAUUCUUGAUGGCUGCUGCUAACUUAUGGUGAGAUGCUGGGUCCCUGCCCAAUACCACAUGGACAUCCAAUCAAUUUACCCAGGGACAAGUCCACUCAAGAGCAUCAUUUAGAAGAGGGAAAAGGCACUGGGGUUAUUUGUUUUUGGAGUAUGUGCUUAAGGAAAUCUAGAGUAUUCCCACGAGCAUUCUGCUGAGAUGAACAAUCAGAUGACCUCGUGUGAGAUUUGGAGGAGAGAAGGAAAUGGAGAGCAUGCGUCUGCCGCUUCUGUGGUUUCUGUCGGUAAGCACAGUGAUGAGGUGCUGAGUUUUCCCCAGAAGGCCUCCCAGUGUCCUAUUACCAGCUUCACAAGCGUCGAGGGCAGGGCAUGGGCAUCUAUUGUUCACCAGUGGAGAUCUAUCUGGCACAGAACCGAUCCAACCAUUGCAGUGGUCACAGCGGUGUUGGCUUUCUGAUUCUCAACCUUCCUGACCGCCAGAGGAGACAGCCUCUUUGGUGGCCCUGUUCUGUGGUAUUGUGCUAACCGGUGGUGGGACUAAAACUGUCUCUAUAA